rnacentral:rRNA from 1 species
UGGGGAAUAUUGCACAAUGGGCGAAAGCCUGAUGCAGCAACGCCGCGUGAGUGAUGAAGGCCUUCGGGUUGUAAAGCUCUGUCUUCUGGGACGAUAAUGACGGUACCAGAGGAGGAAGCCACGGCUAACUACGUGCCAGCAGCCGCGGUAAUACGUAGGUGGCAAGCGUUGUCCGGAUUUACUGGGCGUCAAGGAUGCGUAGGCGGAUACUUAAGUCAGAUGUGAAAAUCCCGGGCUUAACUUGGGAACUGCAUUUGAAACUGGGUAGCUAGAGUGCGGGAGAGGAAAGUGGAAUUCCUAGUGUAGCGGUGAAAUGCGUAGAGAUUAGGAAGAACACCAGUGGCGAAGGCGACUUUCUGGACCGUAACUGACGCUGAGGCAUGAAAGCGUGGGGAGCAAACA